AAAUGCAUUGUAGCAUCGUAAUCAUCAUCACCAUUUUCUUCAUCAACAUCAUCAUAAUAAUCAUAAUUUAUAUCCUGUCCCUUUUAAUUGAAUCAUAAUAAGUUAUUUUUUAUUGGUCUCUGUCUGUACAGUCUUUUUCAUCAAAGUUUUUAUUGUUUUUCCAUGUGAGAAACACACCACAUUUAACAACAUGUAACAGCUCCAAACACACACUACAGCAAUCUGGUUGGUAUUCCAGGUAGCGGGUUUAACAAACUGUGAGCCUAACCCUGAACUCUGAGUUGAUCUACUCUAAAAUGGGGAAACUCCGACUUUUCGAGGAUGAUGAUGAUGAUUAAGAUGACAGAGACUUUGGCUGCUGCUGCAGAAAUGGAUGCAGAGAAGCCUAAGUAUGGUAGGCUAGCAUGGGUAGUUCUCUCCCCAUGUACUUUUAUUUGCA